rnacentral:rRNA from 1 species
CCUACGGGAGGCAGCAGUGAGGAAUAUUGGACAAUGGGCGCAAGCCUGAUCCAGCCAUGCCGCGUGCAGGAAGAAGCAUCUAUGGUGUGUAAAUUGCUUUUGUACAGGAAGAAACACUCCCUCGUGAGGGAGCUUGACGGUACUGUAAGAAUAAGGACCGGCUAACUCCGUGCCAGCAGCCGCGGUAAUACGGAGGGUCCGAGCGUUAUCCGGAAUCAUUGGGUUUAAAGGGUCCGUAGGCGGUUUAAUAAGUCAGUGGUGAAAUCUGGUCGCUCAACGAUCAAACGGCCAUUGAUACUGUUAGACUUGAAUUAUAAAGAAGUAACUAGAAUACGUAGUGUAGCGGUGAAAUGCUUAGAUAUUACAUGGAAUACCAAUUGCGAAGGCAGGUUACUACUUAUGGAUUGACGCUGAUGGACGAAAGCGUGGGGAGCGAACAGGAUUAGAUACCCUGGUAGUCCACGCCGUAAACGAUGGAUACUAGCUGUUCGGAGCAAUCUGAGUGGCUAAGCGAAAAGUGAUAAGUAUCCCACCAGGGGAGUACGUUCGCAAGAAAUGAAAACUCAAAAAGUAGUAAGUUAGGACGGCGUGAGAGACGACGACGGACGACGACGGAGGGAGGGAGGAG